CCGGGAAACACACCAAUGUAGUGACAGUAGUGAAGUGUAUUAAGAGGCUACAUGCAGUGAUGUAACGUGGUGAUUGCAUUGUCUUUAGAAUCCUGUGUGCCUUCACAGAUUCAACAUCAACACAGGAAUUAGUGAUAUAAUAUCAGAUACUUGGACUGGAUCCUGGACCGGAGGAGGUAAGUGGGACCUUGGUCACGAGCCCUUCGGGAGUGCUGGUGCUUAAAAUGGGUCCUCCCUGCUCAGUCGGUCACACUGCUGACUUCACUAUGUCCACCCGCAAAACCUGUCUGUUUGUGAAAGGUUGUGUUACAACAUUUCAACGCCUUUGUUUUUAUCCCUACCCGCCCAAUUACUGGAAAUGAAUUGGGUGUAUGUUCAAGACUUGUAACACGCUAUUGUGUUGAGAUGCUUUAGGUAUGCAUUGUCCAGUACAGAUACUUCAGUAGAAACUCAAUCACCCGUCAAAUAUCUGCCACGUACGUGUGCUAUCGAACAUUUCUGUGGCUGGGCUCCUAUGACACUGAUGCCCAGGAGAUGUCCAUUAAAGCAUGGAGGGACGUCUGCAGUUGUCACACACUGAGAGACACACCGGUGUCAAGCUGAGAGACCCUUGUUGUAAUUACGCUAUUACUGAACUAAAUUAUGGAGAUCAAUUUGCUCUAUUAAACUAGCAGGUAAAGUAAACUAUUGCUCUCUACGUAUGCAAGUCUACCUGGGGCUCGGCAGAAGCAUUUACUGGUCGGUCUGGAGUUUUUAGAACCCCCCUCCCCAGUCCCUCACAGAUUCUCUGCGACUCCUGCCCCUGCCAUGCGUCUGAAAAAGGACAUUGUGCUGCGAGGAGGAACGUUCCAACCUGCCCAGGCUUGCUCCCAUCUCAGCUCGCACACAAGUCCUAUAAGCAACCGUCCUCAGGCUGUGGCCGGCAGACACAGGAGGCUCUUGGUCCCCUCUGCUCUUCAUGCGACACACAGGUGUACUGAACCCUUUAUCUCAACGUGUCUUGUGCAGCACUUUUCCACUGCCAGUGGCCCCCCCGCAAUAGAGCUAUCGAUGCAGCCGCGAGGGCACAAUGGGGGCAUUAUUGGGGCGUCCACGCGGUUCGUCCCUCUCUCGGUCUCUCUUCCGAUGGGGCAAACCGCUGAUCCCAGUGGUGUGAAAGGCCGCCGCGUCGGCUAAAUUUCCACAAUCAAGCACAGCGCACAGCCCUCGCCGCAGAGCGACUCUCAUACAAACACACACAGCACGUAAGCAAACAGCACAAAACGGUGAUCUUUGUCCCCGCUCAGAUCGAUUUCUCUCAGCAACUCUGUGACCUCUAGCGCGGCACGUUAGGAGACACAAUGGCUUUUGCCACCAUCCAUCCAAAUGACCACAAUGACAAUCUUUGGCCGCUGACUGAUCACAAUAGGCCCCUCUUUGCCUUCGCGCCUCUGCUAUUCUUCUGCUCGAUCUCCCAGACAAAGCCCUGUUGCAGAAGUGCCAAUUGAGCUUGAAUAAUCGCUCACAAAGGAGGCACUGACUUGGUGUUUCCAGC
ensembl:lncRNA